UACGAAGGGAGCAAGCGUUGCUCGGAUUUAUUGGGCGUAAAGGGUGUGUAGGCGGUUUUGUAAGUUAGAUGUGAAAGCCCAGGGCUUAACCCUGGAAUUGCAUUUAAGACUGCAUUACUUGAAGGUCGAAGAGGUUAGCAGAAUUCCCAGUGUAGAGGUGAAAUUCGUAGAUAUUGGGAAGAAUACCAAUGGCGUAGGCAGCUAACUGGUCGACUCUUGACGCUGAGGCACGAAAGCGUGGGUAGCAAACAGG
rnacentral:rRNA from 1 species